rnacentral:rRNA from 1 species
UGUCUUUUUGAAAAUAAUAUAAAGUCUAAUCUGCCCACUGAUUAAAUAAUUGAAGGGCUGCAGUAUAUUGACUGUACAAAGGUAGCAUAAUCAUUAGUCAUUUAAUUGGUGACUUGUAUGAAGGAUUUGAUGAAAUAUAAACUGUCUCUUAUUUAAUUAUAAAAUUUAAUUUUUUUAUUAAAAAGUUAAAAUGUAUUAAAAAGACGAGAAGACCCUAUAGAGUUUAAUAAAUUAUUAAAUUGAGAUUAUAUGUAAAUUAAACUUGAAAUUGAGUUAUUUAUUUUGUUGGGGUGACAAAAAAAUAUAUUAAACUUUUUUUAUUUAAAAACAUUUAUAAGUGGUUAAAAUGAUCCAAUAAUGUUGAUUAUAAGAAAAAAUUACCUUAGGGAUAACAGCGUAAUUUUUUUUUUUAGUUCAAAUAAGAAAAAGAGUUUGCGACCUCGAUGUUGGAUUAAGAUAAAAUUUAAAUGUAGAAG